rnacentral:misc_RNA from 1 species
UCCUCCCUCAAACCUCCGGGUUUGGUGUUGGACCGCGUGGGACCCUCCGGGGCACCACGGGUCUCAAAGACAAUGACGGCGUCCGUGGGACCCUCUUCGCACUGAGCUUUCCGGAGCACGCGUCGAGUUUCAAGGUGUCACGGACCCGGCCUCUAAACGAAUCUUUUUUCA